UACGAUAGCAGUGCCUCACAAGUUUUGU
rnacentral:piRNA from 1 species